rnacentral:rRNA from 1 species
ACGCUCGACACCUACGGGAGCAGCAGUGGGGAAUAUUGCACAAUGGGGGAAACCCUGAUGCAGCGACGCCGCGUGAAGGAAGAAGUAUUUCGGUAUGUAAACUUCUAUCAGCAGGGAAGAAAAUGACGGUACCUGAGUAAGAAGCACCGGCUAAAUACGUGCUAGCAGCCGCGGUAAUCUGAGCGGGCUGGCAAGGC